AUUGAACGCUGGCGGCAGGCCUAACACAUGCAAGUCGAGCGGAUGAAGGGAGCUUGCUCCUGGCUUCAGCGGCGGACGGGCGAGUAAUGCCUAGGAAUCUGCCUGGUCGUGGGGGAUAACGUCCGGAAACGGGCGCUAAUAUCGCAUACGUCCUGAGGGUGAAAGUGGGGGAUCUUCGGACAUCAAGCUAUCAGAUGAGCCUAGGACGGAUUAGCUAGUUGGUGGGGUAAAGGCCUACCAAGGCGACGAUCCGUAGCUGGUCUGAGAGGAUGAUCAGUCACACUGGAACUGAGACACGGUCCAGACUCCUACGGGAGGCAGCAGUGGGGAAUAUUGGACAAUGGGCGAAAGCCUGAUCCAGCCAUGCCGCGUGUGUGAAGAAGGUCUUCGGAUUGUAAAGCACUUUAAGUUGGGAGGAAGGGCAGUAAGUUAAUACCUUGCUGUUUUGACGUUACCAACAGAAUAAGCACCGGCUAACUUCGUG
rnacentral:rRNA from 1 species